UACGGGGGGGGGCAAGCGUUGUUCGGAAUUACUGGGCGUAAAGGGUGCGUAGGCGGGCCAUUAAGUCAGUGGUGAAAGCUCCGAGCUUAACUCGGAAACUGCCAUUGAUACUAUUGGUCUUGAAUUCGGUCGAGGUUGGCGGAAUGUGUCGUGUAGCGGUGAAAUGCUUAGAUAUGACACAGAACACCGAUUGCGAAGGCAGCUAGCUAGACCGACAUUGACGCUGAGGCACGAAAGCGUGGGGAUCAAACAGG
rnacentral:rRNA from 1 species